rnacentral:rRNA from 1 species
UAUGCUUAACACAUGCAAGUCGAGCGGUAACAGGAAGGAAGCUUGCUUUCUUUGCUGACGAGCGGCGGACGGGUGAGUAAUGCCUGGGAAUAUGCCCUGAUGUGGGGGAUAACUAUUGGAAACGAUAGCUAAUACCGCAUAAUCUCUUCGGAGCAAAGAGGGGGACCUUCGGGCCUCUCGCGUCAGGAUUAGCCCAGGUGGGAUUAGCUAGUUGGUGAGGUAAAGGCUCACCAAGGCGACGAUCCCUAGCUGGUUUGAGAGGAUGAUCAGCCACACUGGAACUGAGACACGGUCCAGACUCCUACGGGAGGCAGCAGUGGGGAAUAUUGCACAAUGGGGGAAACCCUGAUGCAGCCAUGCCGCGUGUGUGAAGAAGGCCUUCGGGUUGUAAAGCACUUUCAGUUGUGAGGAAGGUUGGUGAGUUAAUAGCUCAUCAAUUUGACGUUAGCAACAGAAGAAGCACCGGCUAACUCCGUGCCAGCAGCCGCGGUAAUACGGAGGGUGCGAGCGUUAAUCGGAAUUACUGGGCGUAAAGCGCAUGCAGGUGGUUUGUUAAGUCAGAUGUGAAAGCCCGGGGCUCAACCUCGGGAUUGCAUUUGAAACUGGCAAGCUAGAGUACUGUAGAGGGGGGUAGAAUUUCAGGUGUAGCGGUGUAAUGCGUAGAGAUCUGAAGGAAUACCGGUGGCGAAGGCGGCCCCCUGGACAGAUACUGACACUCAGAUGCGAAAGCGUGGGGAGCAAACAGGAUUAGAUACCCUGGUAGUCCACGCCGUAAACGAUGUCUACUUGGAGGUUGUGGCCUUGAGCCGUGGCCUUCGGAGCUAACGCGUUAAGUAGACCGCCUGGGGAGUACGGUCGCAAGAUUAAAACUCAAAUGAAUUGACGGGGGCCCGCACAAGCGGUGGAGCAUGUGGUUUAAUUCGAUGCAACGCGAAGAACCUUACCUACCCUUGACAUCCAUAGAAUCA